rnacentral:misc_RNA from 1 species
GGAAAUAAUCCAAUAUACAAGCAAAAGAGCAAACUAAGUUCAAAGUUUUUGUUACUAAUUCUAAGGACAUAAAGCCCAUUUAUUUGGAGAAAACAAAGGCGCAACGCAACCAAACAUAGUAAAACAUCUGCAAACAACACUGGUAAUUGAACUAAACAACCCUCAACACACCUCCUUUACUUCGUUUCUCUUCUCUUCUUCGUUCCAGCAGUCCUGCAGAACAGAUUUGGGAGAUCCACAGAGGGAACUCCUAGUGAACUUCCGGUAGACAAUCAAACCACCCUUACCAAGUUCUUCUGGGCUCCACUCAGCGUGAGAGUAGCCCUUAACGUCAAAAGAGCAAAUGCGCUCCAGUAGCUCACAAGCAACAUAAUCAGCAUGCAAAGCAACAGAAAAUUCAUCAGGCUGGAAACAUGUCAGCACCCUCCUAACCAGUGACCCGAGACUCGAGGAGUUCAAAUCAUACCCAACUGCUUCAAAGCUAGCAUAACUAAAACCAUCUUCUGGUGUAACAUGAAUAGUAGAAAGCGCAGCUCCUUCAAUAGAAUUCAUGGAAUAACCACAAGGAUCAAACUCGAAAUCACAUAUAUCAGAGUUAGGGAGGAUCUUCCUUAUGCCGGAUCUAAUAGUCAUUUCAGCUGCCGAGCUUGAUUCAGUCUUGUAAAAGACAGAAGCCUUCUUCCUUAACAGAUUAGUCAUGCACAUCUCAAGAGUGUAGACAGGGUUCUUAGUCUGAAUCGAUCCAGCAGAGGCAGAGUAAACAUGCCAUUUUUGAAGAUUGUCAUGACUGCCCAAAAUUACAGCUUUGCUGCCUGAACUAAGAUUUCCAAAGUAGCUAUCAAGGACCGCAACUUCUUCAGAGAAGUGACGAUGAGGAAAUGACUGGGCACCAGGGAAGAUGAAGCUCCCACGGGUAUACUUCACCGCUUGUACUUUGAGCGAAAGGGUAUCAGCCAACUUCAGGAUGACCGGAAUUGAGAGAAGCAACUUUGUGGUACCACAUGUCUUGAUGACUAUCUUGUAAGGAUAAAUGAAGAGGCUGGACUCAGAAAGGACAUAGGAGUCAACACACUCAUUAGAAAGAGAAUCAACUAUGGUGCACUCAGCAGGUCCUAGGAACUCAUCCAAUUGUGCUUUUGACAGUGAUCGAAGUCCUUUUCCUUCGGGAUCAGCAAAAAGGCCAGGCUCAAAAAAUGAAAUUUCAAGCCUCUUCUCAUAACCU